UACGUAGGCAGCAAGCGUUGUUCGGAAUUACUGGGCGUAAAGAGUGUGUAGGCGGUGUUCUAAGUUUGUCGUGAAAUCUCCCGGCUUAACUGGGAGGGUGCGGCGAAAACUGGAAUGCUAGAGGAUGGGAGAGGUAUGCGGAAUUCCAGGUGUAGCGGUGAAAUGCGUAGAUAUCUGGAGGAACACCGGUGGCGAAGGCGGGUCUCUGGGCCGAUACUGACGCUGAGGAGCGAAAGCGUGGGGAGCGAACAGG
rnacentral:rRNA from 1 species